AGUGGAAUUUCUAGGUCAUGUGAUAAAUGUGUGUUUAACUUUUUAAGAAACUGCCAAACUGUUUUCCAAAGUGAUUGUAUCAUUUUACUUUCCCACCAGCAAU
rnacentral:pre_miRNA from 1 species